rnacentral:misc_RNA from 1 species
GAUGAAGAACGCAGCGAAAUGCGAUAAGUAGUGUGAAUUGCAGAAUUCAGUGAAUCAUCGAAUCUUUGAACGCACAUUGCGCCCCUUGGUAUCCCGAGGGGCAUGCCUGUUCGAGCGUCAUUUCACCACUCAAGCCUGGCUUGGUGUUGGGCGACGUCCUCUUUGGGGACGCGCCUCGAAACGCUCGGCGGCGUGGCACCGGCUUUAAGCGUAGCAGAAUCUUUCGCUUUGGAAGUCGGGGCCCCGUCUGCCGGAAGACCUGCUCGCAAGGUUGACCUCGGAUCAGACAGGGAUACCCGCUGAACUUAAGCAUAUCAAUAAGCGGAGGA